AUGUCGUGGUCUUCCCCGGAAAGCAUGCUCUUCGUCGGAGCAUCGGCCGUUGCCAGCGCUGCUCUAGCCUGGGCAACGUGGACGUUGCUCGACGAGUUCAAGUACGACAAACGCCCUUCGGAAACAAACUACAAUGAACUCAUCGGCGUCAAGCCCCUGGACGCCACCGGCAGCCUCAGGACCUUGGAUGCUACCACGACCGACCCCGUCAUCGGCCGCGACGACGAGAUUGACCGCGUCGUCUGCAUCCUCUGCCGGCGCACGAAGAACUGCGCCGCGCUCGUCGGCGCCGCGGGGGUCGGCAAGACGGCCAUCGUUGAGGGCCUCGCACAGCGCAUCGCGGCCGGGAACGUCCCCGAGACGCUUGUCGGCGCACGCAUCGUGGAGGUUGACAUGGGGGCCAUGAUGGCCGGGACGCACUGGCGCGGCAUGUUUGAGCAGCGCAUCAAAGACGCCAUCAAGGAGGCAGAGGAGGCGGAAGGCAAGGUCAUCUUGUUCAUCGACGAGAUGCACAUGGUCGUUGGCGCCGGCGGGCACAAGGGCGGCCCCAUAGACGCCGCCAACAUCCUCAAGCCGGCGCUGGCCCGCGGCCGCAUUCGUUGCGUGGGCGCCACGACCUCCGAAGAGUAUCAAAAAUAUGUUCAGACAGAUGCCGCACUUGAGCGGCGGUUCCAGAAGGUUGUCGUCGAGGAGCCAAGUGUGCAUGCAACCGUUGCCAUCCUGCGAGGGCUGAAGCCAAGGUACCAAGAACACCAUGGCCUGAAAAUCCAGGACGAUGCUCUUGUAGCCGCUGCACAUCUCGCUGCCCGCUACAUUACUGGCCGCAAAUUCCCUGAUAAAGCAAUUGAUCUUAUGGAUGAGGCAUGCGCUACAAUAAAGAUGCACGCCGACAAACAAACGAGCCUGGAAAUUGUUGUUGGCCCUGGACAUGUAGCACGGGUUGUGAGCCGAUGGACUAAAAUCCCUCUCGCUACACUUGACCAAGAGGAGAACGAGAAGUUGAUCCACCUUGCGAAAAAAUUGCAUGAGCGUGUUAUUGCCCAGGAUGAAGCUGUUAAUUUGGUUGCGCAAGCAGUCCUACGUUCUAGGCUCGGAUUUGGACAAAUCGGACAGCCGAUAAGUGCAUUCCUCUUUUUGGGCCCGAUUGGCGUCGGAAAGACAGAACUUGCUAAAGCCCUCGCUGAGAAGAUAUUUGACAACGAGAAGGCAUUGAUUCGCUUUGAUAUGUCGGAAUAUGCUGAUAGUGGAUCUGUGUCACGUCUCACCGGAGGAUCUCGAAGGUUUGAUUCUUAA
rnacentral:rRNA from 1 species